UCCUACUACUCUACCUGGCAACUGGAUUUAUAAUAACAGCUGUCAGGUAAUGGUCCUAGGAUAGUUGAUGUUACAGUUCACAGGGAUUAAAGUUCUCUGUCGCAACGAUAAUAUCACGGAGCGUCAAACUGAAUAAACUGAAAACUGUCCUGAAAGUUCAGCACUGCUCUGGAGAAACCGAAUACCGUAAUCCCUCUAAUAAGAUAGCGCUGGUGCAGAAAACUGUGCGUUUAUUCAUUACAACCAACAGAUAUUAAUUUCUAAUGGAGGAAGUUUGCAGCCGGGGUGGAGAACGGCUAUUUGAAUGCUCCUGCACGGCACAGAGCUCCCUCAACUUGAAUAACAAACUUAGGGGGAUGCGGAGUGAUCCCUCAGCUGUGUUGUUAUUGCCAAAGUAACGUAUAGUAAUUGUGCCAUAGUGAGUAAAGACCGGCUGUUGAAUGAAGACCUGCAGCACUCAGUCGUAAUAAUUUCUUACAAAUUAUUACUUUUACUAAAAAUUCCUACAGGUACCAAGUUUACUAUUUAUGUUAAUUUUACAGUUAAUUGUUCUGCACUGUUAUUGUUUUUCCUUAAAGAAUGAUAUUUUCAAAAGAAGCUACUUUCCCCCCUUUUUUGUAUCAGUAUGUGGGUCAGUGUCCAUACACCACACAUAUUGUAAGGAUAUGAAUGGUGGUGAUCAUCAUAUGUGUUUAUGAUUAAAUUCUUUACCACAGUGCACAAUAGGUUUCAAGAGCAUAAAGUCCUUCAUAGAUCUAGCCUCCUAAAUUGCUGUCAAAGUUCACCAGGUUGAUGGAUUUAACUUUGAAAUGUACAAAAUAAUUUACCGGGGUAGCAUGCCCAGAGGGGUUAGAAAUCACAGAGGCUGGGCGAUAUGGACCAAAUAUAUAUCUUAAUAUUUCUUCUGGUAAAGAAAUAAUAAAAACAAUGUCAGUUCCAACUCAAAUCAACAUGUGUCCAAAUGUCACAUAAUAACCAGCUGCACAAUAUCAACAUGUACAUGAAAUUGACACAAAAAUAAACUAAUGGCUUGUUAAAUAGCAAUAAAUAAUAAUAUUAAUUUAAAUUAAAUUAAAAAUGCUCCUUUCUUGCAUAACAGAAUACACAGAGCUGUGCAAACAAGGCACAACGAGGUUGAAUGAACACUUCUUGUACUGUACUUCAUGGCGCUGUUGAAAUGGUGGGAGAGAUUUGUCACCUUUUAGUUGCAACCUGUUUGCGUCAUUCUCUACACAUCUGAAACUUUGAAACCAAUCCAUCUCCAAAUGAUCGAUCCAGUAUUUUUAAUUUUACUCACAAACUCCUCUUCGACUGCUUGCCUCUCGUUUGUGUCUGUCUCCGUGUUGGUGCUGCUGAAGUUGUGUGUGAGGGAGAGACAAGGAGAGGAGAAAUAGGCAAACUGGCGGCUCCGUGAAAAUAACUUAUAACGUUAAUUUAACGCGACAUAAAUCUCGGUAACACGAUAUUGGCUAAUCCUAUAUCGUGUUUGAAAAUAUAUUGUCAGUCAGUGUCUUGACAUGCGGUUGCAGUUCGUGCCACAGAUAAGAGGAUAGCCUGCGAUGAAGAGUUCUCUGACUCUAAGGAUGAGGGCGAGGGCGGCAGGAGGAACGUGUUCAGUCACAAGAAGGGAGUGUAAAAGGCCCAGAGUCGAUGAAGACAAGAAUGAACCAGAGGAGGAGAAAACUGAGGUUAAAGAGGAAGAGAAAAACCAAGGACAGCAGUGCUGAGACGACUGUCUGAAAAAGGCUCCCCUCUCCAUAAGGCCCAGUCUACUCUGCUCGGCCAGUUGGAGCACUCUGUUGUGAUUGGUCAAUCUCUUCCAGCACCCAGUGUGAAAGGUGAGCAGACAAGCAGUGCCUGAUGAACAACCCUGCAGUGCUGUGCAUCCUCCAGGAUCCAACCCUGCGAUGAAUCGGAAAAAUUAUAUUUAUUAUGACUCUCCUUUGUCUUUUUGUAAAUCUCAGUCAGCCUCUCUGUGUGUAUUGGACGUGCCAGCGUCCUUGGAUACCUGUUGAAGGCGUUUGAUUUCAAUGUGCUUGAUCUUCUGAAGGAAACUGGCUUGU